rnacentral:lncRNA from 1 species
UCCUGAUUCUUUAUUUUUCUUUUCUGUUUUUUUUGUGAUUUGUCAAAGCCGCCUGCUCUGGUGCUCCAGUGUGUUAUUUGCAGGUGCUGAUCUUGCUGCAAGUUGAUGCCUGGGUUUAUCAUUGGAGAAAAAUGCACACAUGUUAUUGCUGCAUUUGACGAUUCCUUUUAGUUGAACAAAUCUGGCUUUAUUUUGUUCCUUUUUGUUCUCUGUUUAUUAUCGUUAAUUGCUCAGAGUGAUUGUUCCUAAAGUAGUCUUGAACAAUUAAUCAUUUGCAGGUAUUUAUCUAACAAAUUGCGGCUUCGGUUUCCUGGCCAUCUUUCUUUUGGAAAUGGAAGUUGAUGUUUCUUCCUAGGUGAGCUGAGGUGAUAACUAAACUCUCUUCUUGCACUAGCAAUCCAUCUAUUUUGAUUUCAUAAUCAUGGUUCUUCUGUCAUGCUCUUAUGAUUUUAUACAUGCCAACAAGCAUCCACACGAUUUGUUCUUUACUUCUGCACAUAUUAGCAUGUUUUCCCACAAAAAUACACACGCCGCGACAAGCCACGACAAUCAUGUUCGCGGGUUUUAAAGCGUAUAAGAUAAGAGCAUGUAUCUUAGUUAUUUUGGCACGGCCAUCCUUACAUUAUACGGUGUCUACAUAUGCAAAUAUGCAAGUUAAAUUUACCACACCUUUGAAACCUGCAGUUGUUUACUAUUCUCUUAAAUCUUUAAACUAUGUGCUCCAUUCCUUUAAUUUCAGAACUAGGAAGGUGCGGAUAAUAAGAGUUGUUGGCAGAGGCAACCUGCACAUGUGUAAACAAUGGGUAUGGUGGCUCAAAGGGAAGCAGCGGCUGCUCCAUGGAAACGCGCAACUUAGUGAUGUACUUUUCGUUUCUAGAUUUUGUUCACUCUCAUUAAAUUUUAAGCAAUAAAAUCCACUACCCUACAAAAAGUUCUUCCAACAAAUAUUUUUGUGUGUGCAGCUAAGAUUAAUUUUCCUAUUCAUUCAUUGCACACUAUUAUUCUGCAGGAAUAGCGAAGCGCAAGGUCAUGUUCAAGCUGGGGGUUGCACUGAUCAGGAUCACUUUGUCCCAGUUUUCUCUUUUGGUAGCUUGAUUUUGUUUCUUCCUGGUUUGCAGAACAUUCACUUAUGAAAUUGAUUUUCUUGCCAACUUUUCAGGGAUAAGCUGGUAAAUGAAGGAAAUUCUAAAAGAAAGCGACUACAAGCAACAUUUGAAGGUACAGCCUGUAUUAUAUUACUACAAAAAUUAAUAUCGUGGUCUGUUAAUGGGAAUCAUGAGUUUCUUGGCAAUGAGACCCACUGCAUUUUCUUUUCAUAAAAAUUUCCUUGGAAGAGAUUGCAAAGUUUAACGAGCAUGUCCCUUUUACAUCUCUUUACAGUGUGUUUUCUUUUGGUUUCACAACAUUUUAAGUUUUAGAUUUUUUAUUACAGGCUGUGUAUAGUAUAGGAGGUAUUGAUGAUGAAAUAUGAAUGUCCCUUGUUCUUGUCUGCUCCUGAUCUCAGUAGACUUGUGUGAUGUGCUCUAGAUCCUUUCUCUUUUUUCGUUAAGUGAUUAUCUGACUGAGGAGAGCAUGUUCUUGAUUAGGUUGCCAUUGUGAAACUUGUUUUUGUUUUUUUAUUGUAUAAUAUAGAGCUUCCAAAUGGUUUGAUCCUGGAAAUAAGUUACCAAUUUUUGGUGUGUAGUGAGCUGGGAGCCGGGGUCAUCCUUCUCACCACCAGUCAAACAUACUACUUCAGCCACCAUGUUGAACAAUAUAAAAGUGUUCUCUAUUUCAGAGAGCAACAACACGAGAUUGUGCCCCCUCUUGCUCCAGGUGCAUGUUGUUGUAAUUAGUAUCAAUAGAUUAAAUCAUGGACCAUGUCUCUGUUUCGUACUACCUCCGUUCAUAAAUAGAUAGCUCCUAGAGAUUGUGCAGUCCUAAGGCCAUCCACACUAUUGCUCGUUAAAGCGUAUUGAAUGCAUCAAGCCAAUUUUCUAUUGGGCAGAUUUGUUUUGUAAUCUAUUAGUGUUAGAACAAUACAAAAUUUCCUAUUUUGCAGAAACUAACUUAGUGUUUCCUUCUUUCGGGUUUGUAAUUCAGCAAUUCUCUUCCUUAAUCGCAAACUGAAUUGUUCGUCGUUGCUAUUUGGUUUCCCUUCUGUCUGUGGCAUGUUGAUGAUCUGAUUAGCAUUCAAGAAAGAAAUAUUCCAUGCAAGCCUCCAGCUUAUGUGCGGUAGGGAUGGACUCGACAUAAAAAAGUUUCUCUUUGGCUGCUCUGGUUUUGACCCAAGACCCUUGGGUGUUUGUUUGGCCUUAUUGUCAACAGUGUGCAUCAGUUAGUUAUGACCUCAUUUCUUUCAGUGAGAUUUUUUCCUCCCUGAAGGUUUCUCCUUACAUUUGGUUUAUUACCCUACUCCAUGUGCAUGAUUUCUGCUGGAUAUUUUUGAUGAUGAUGGAUUUUCGUAUUUAUUGUUCUGCAGGAUAUCCCUGAUGAUGAUAGGGAAUGGUCAAACUAAAAUAACAUAAUUGUAUCAGGUAAGACGAAGAAAUCAUGUUCCUCACUUAGGUGUGUGUGACAUGAAACAUUAUUUCCUAAGUAAAGAAAUUUAUUUGCUUGCCAUUGGCAUCAAAUUUGACCAGAUAUAUAUUUCAUUGUUCAUGAUGUUUCUUUUUUGUUUGUAUCGAAGUUCAUGCUUACUCGAUAUAUAUCACGUUGUGAUCCUGUCUGAUUUGUUCAUACUUAAUUUGUUUUCUUCAGCACUUUAUUUUAUUGAUAGAUGAUAAAGAAUGCAUCAUCAUCGUAUUUUUUUAUUCAAAAUCUGUAUGGGGUUGGUGCAUUUGCAUUCAUAGAAUGAUCUUUUCUUUAAUAUAGCAGACUGAACCAGGUUAGUUUGCGUGUGAAGUUCUUCUUUUAGAGAUAAGGCACCAUGUCUUCAUAAAUAAAGCCAUCAAUGGCAAUCAAGUCAGACUGAAGUUGAGUUAAAAGGUUAUAAAACAAAGCUGCCUGAUAUGGAAUACACACUAUUUUCACUUUCAUUAACAUGAAUAUGCCAUUAAGGUACUUUGUUCUUAACAUAUGUUUUGCCAAAUGCAGGGGAGCGUCACCGAUAUUUUCUUGAGGCGGUAUAAUCGCUGAUAAUAUCUUUACGGUUUGUCCUUUGUUUCAGGCAACACAAGUCACACAUGAUAUUAUCCUGUUGGCCUGUUGUUUGGCAUUGGACCAUGGACACAAGGUUCAUAUAAAAUUCUUUGGAUACAGAGUGAGCUCUGAAUUGUUGAAAAAUUGUCCUCCAUAGUUCUGUAUGAGUUAGUUUGUGUUUCUGCAUUCUCAGCAGUUGUCGUCCUUGAAUAAUUUAAGUUAAAGCUAAGAUUGAGAGAGGGUGAGAGAGGUAAUAAACUAUGGCUACAUGGUUUGCAAAAGAAAAAUUGUCAUUGGAGAAGCACACGAUACAUGAAUACGAGAAAGGCAUCACAAUUGAGUUUGGAGAAGAAAAAGGAUACAAGGACAAAGAUCUGUAUUCUGGUCUGAAGCUAAUUUUUUUUGUGGGAUCCAUGUUACUUGAUUCUGUAUUAUGGAAGUAUGACUUGGUCAUAUAUUUACAUUAAUGUUGUCAAGUUGUGAUUUAGCAAUGGGCAUAAUUUCCUAUCAAGGUACUUCUUUUGAGUAUAUCGUUGUUUUUAAGCUUGUAAUUUCUAUGUGGACCUACCCUUGCGAGCGUCCCCCGAUUUUGCUGCAUUU